CGUAGUUUAUCGGGCAAAAAAAGACGGAGUGAGCAGCAGCAGUCCGGCAGCCAGUUGUCUUAGACUCGGACACAAACCACCUGCAGGAGUUUCAAUCUUUCCUUACAUCAAUAGGACCUGGAAGGAGCUGACUCACCAGCAAUGAUCGUGGUGUAAACCUUAUUCCUGGGGAGUGUGCUACAGUGUCUACCUUGUGCCGCCGUCUGUUCGAAGAAGUUCUACAACGCUCGUCAUCGUCUUGGCAUGAGUCGUGAUCAAGAGCCUAAACAUAACCUCUUAAUAAAACCAACCGCCGCUCUGGAAUUCAUUACAGAUGUUUACAGAACUGAAUUAGACACAUUGUAUAUCUGCUACAUCGUGCAUCGCUAGUCUUCGUAAAUUCUUCACGACCACAGACAGUUAAUGUAACGAGAGCCUCAUGAAUUUUAUUAGGAGUUCAUGUUUACUUGAGGGAAAUUUCUCGGUGUAUGUUGGUACAUUGUGAAUAUAUUGGUUAACUAUG